rnacentral:rRNA from 1 species
CCUACGGGGGACAGCAGUGAGGAAUAUUGGUCAAUGGCCGGAAGGCUGAACCAGCCAAGCCGCGUGAGGGAAUAAGGCCCUCUGGUUCGUAAACCUCUUUGGUCAGGGAGCAAAGGCGACUACGUCUGGACGAGAGGAGAGUAACUGAAGUAAAAGCAUCGGCAAACUCAGUUCGAGCGGCGGCGGUAAUACGGAGGAUUCGACGUUUAUCGGGAUUUAGUGGGUUAAAGGGGUGCUUAGGCGGAGUGUCAGGUUAACGGUAAAAUUGCGGGCCUCAAACCCGUUGUGCCGUUGAAACUGACUCCCUUGAGUACGUGAGAGGUAAGCGGAAUGCGUAGUGUAGCGGUGAAAUGCAUAGAUAUCACGCAGAACGCC